rnacentral:lncRNA from 1 species
ACCGACCUGGCCUCAAUGCUCUCCGAGCCAUCGUGUCAACCUACCAUUUGAAGUUGAAAUUCCCUACCAACUAGGGGAUCGGAGAGGUCAGAGGAGACCAAGCCCUAGCCAGACACUGCUACAACAUAGCCUUGUAAAGAAGCGACCAAUCCGACCCCUGUCCAGUUGAUGGGCUGGAUGCUCGCGACGACCUCACUGA